GGGGACGUUGGCUGCGGUCGUUACCCCUCAGGCACGGAGGCCCUAGUGAGAGAAUCUGAGCCCAGGGACGUUUGUGGUAGAGACGGUUCCUGUGCCCUGAGAGGUGAACAUUGGUCUUCUGAGCUUUCUUCUCCUUUGACCCUCUGAAAGGUUGAACCGAGGCACGGCCGCGUCCUCCCUGCAGGCGGCGUGGAGGAUAAGACAAUACCAGCAGGAGAAGAAGGGAAUCCUCUUCAGGACCAGCUAUGAGCAGGAAGAAAUCCUCCCUGUGGAAAGGCGUCCUGUGUCAUGGAUGCCCACAAGCAAAGUCUCCCUCAGAUGUCACUUGAAGGCCAUCUCCAAGGAAGCUCUGUAAAGUCGUCGGUGGGUGAAUGUAUCCUGCUAGGCCAAGUCCACGGACAUCAGCUUGCAGUAAUGAGUGCUGUGAUCAGUGGUCCCAUAGGUGACCCUGCAAGCAAGACAGAUCCGGCUCUUCGUGGGACUGGAACCUUGUCUACACCAUCAGCACAACCUUCUGCCCUGGAGGUGAACUGGGCAGGAUGCAGUAGCACUCUGCUCUUUCUUGGACUUGGAAUCAUGGCUACCACCCCCACCAAUGCAGCCUUCUACCCUGGCAGUGAACUUGGUGGAAUGUGGGUGGAGAGGGUCCCAUGUGCUGUGGCUCUAGAAGGACUUGGUUGUGCUUCUUGGAACGCCAUCAGAGCAAGGGAACAAGAUAGGUGCAGCCAGGCAGGCACCAAGGACACAGAAGGGGGCUGUGAAUGGGUGCCACUAGGCAGAAACAGGGGCCUGGAAAGGGGCUGUGGAACAGUGAGGGCGUGCAGGGAUCAAGGGGAGGAAGGGGCCUUGGACCAGCAGGGGUGGGCAGGGACUGUAAAUGAAGAGAGGUCAGUGAUCUACAGAGGUGCAGGGCCACCAGAGGUGAGAAGGGGCCAGGAGUGGGGUUGGGGCACAGGCUGGGGCUAGACAGAAAUCGGUGGGACAUGUGGGAGGAUUCAGGGGCAACAUGAGCAGGAAAGACAUUUGUUUGCUGCAACAAACACAGAUGAACAAAUUAUCAAAAACAAGGGAAAUAGAGCUCCUAUUCAACUGAUAACUAGCUGUUUUUUGUCAAUGUAGUGCAGACUACUGUGGAGAGUGACCACAAGGACUUCUAAGUGUUAGAAACACCUGACACCAUAUAGUCAAAUUUGGUUCUAUAAACUUAGAAAACUUUCUAUAACAUACAGUUCAAAUAAACAGAACCCAAAAGAUAAUAGUGAAAAGGAAAAAUUCUGCCUGUUAUAGUACUUAAGUCUCUAAAAAUACAAAAGAAAAAAUUACCAACAAUCCCUUGGAAGCAUGUUAGAGACAUGAACCAAUAGUUCAAGGAAAAAAAGGACAAACAGCUCUUCAUCUCAUUCAAAAAGACAAAUUUUUCUUAGGUUGCUAAGAACGCAUGACCUAACCUCUCUGGGGACAUUGGACAGUACUUAGCAACACUGCAUAGGUGCUAACACUUUGACCCACAACCCAACAUGUUUAUUGGCUUCCAAGCAAGCCAUCUGAACCAAACCUGGGUUUCAGGGAA